rfam:Camelus ferus unplaced genomic scaffold scaffold320, whole genome shotgun sequence.
AGAGUAUAGCUCAGUGGUAGAGUGCGUGCUUAGCAUGCACGAGGUCCUCGGUUCAAUCCCCAGUGCCUCUA